AUUGAACGCUGGCGGCAGGCUUAACACAUGCAAGUCGAGCGGAGAUGAGGUGCUUGCACCUUAUCUUAGCGGCGGACGGGUGAGUAAUGCUUAGGAAUCUGCCUAUUAGUGGGGGACAACAUUCCGAAAGGAAUGCUAAUACCGCAUACGUCCUACGGGAGAAAGCAGGGGAUCUUCGGACCUUGCGCUAAUAAAUGAGCCUAAGUCGGAUUUGCUAGUUGGUGGGGUAAAGGCCUACCAAGGCGACGAUCUGUAGCGGGUCUGAGAGGAUGAUCCGCCACACUGGGACUGAGACACGGCCCAGACUCCUACGGGAGGCAGCAGUGGGGAAUAUUGGACAAUGGGGGGAACCCUGAUCCAGCCAUGCCGCGUGUGUGAAGAAGGCCUUAUGGUUGUAAAGCACUUUAAGCGAGGAGGAGGCUACUGAGACUAAUACUCUUGGAUAGUGGACGUUACUCGCAGAAUAAGCACCGGCUAACUCUGUGCCAGCAGCCGCGGUAA
rnacentral:rRNA from 1 species